UGGAGGGAGGGGAGGGUCUGGGAGGAAGGCGGGGGUGGGGAGAGGCAAAGGUAAGUAUGGGGGCGGGGAGGUGAAGAGAGCCACGUGGAAGAGGUUACCUGCCAUUAUGAAACCCCUUCUAGGAUAACAAAUGGCAGCGUUGUAUCCUUCCUUCACCCCCCCUCCCUUCCCAGGAUGGCUUCUCCUGUUUUCUGGAUUAAAAGGUAGCACCUCCCUGCUCCUCUUCUGCCAGUUAGCGCCAAAUUCUCGCAUACAGCAGUGAUUACUGCAAAACAUGGGUAAAGGGGAUACUAAGUAAUCCCUAUAACUGUGGACUACAAAUGUCUCCUUUUUAAAAUCGAGGGACCCUUCCCCAACCCAGUUGUUUGUGGGGCUGUCCCACUGACUGUCAGGGUUCCCUAGGGAGGGAUGGCGGAGGGAACCGAUGACCUGGCUAUUUCUCUAGGCUUUUUUUCUAGGUGAAUUUCCCUCAUACGCAUUAAAACAAACCAAGCCUCCUUGGAGUAGGAUCUGGCGAGACCUUUAAAGAAAUGGAAGCCUCUUAACCAGUAGGAGAACAUCAGAGAAUCUGGGGGGAGAAAGAGAGUGAAUGAGCACGUAGCCCAGCCCGUAAGCCACCACCAUAGAGAGAUGUCCAGGUGCCUUUGGAUGAGUUUACAGCCUUUUCAGAAGAAAGCUUGCCUUAAUGGUGCUUUAGAAGUGCUCUGGAUGAAUUACACACACACAGUUGUUUUCUUAAUCUUCACACCUUUUUCCAGGCAGCACAAAAAGCUUAUGAUCAUAAGCCACAAAACUGCGUGGAGCCAGUUGCCCCCUUUUAACAGUCAUCCCAACCCAUUCUGUGAAGUACGGGGUGGAGGGUAACUUGUGUAAGGAUCUUGAUUUGCAUUUUGGAAAGAAGAUUUGGCAUAAACCUUUAAAACUGCCACCAAAGAACUCUUUCUCAAUCCUAUAGACAUUCAUAAAAGAUUUUGGUAAUUAGAAGAGCUUUUUUUGGACACCGCUAGAGACUUUGGGGGUUGUGCCCAACACACUGAGAUCAACUGAAAUCCUAACCAGAAUGAACUUUGGAUCUUACCACUUCUGCCUUGUUGGGGGUUAUUUAUGGCUGGCUGAUGAUAUUUGGGCUAACAGGGCUACGUGUUAAGUUGCAUUUGCAAACGGUGGUGGAUAUAGGGUUCUGAAAUUCUAUUAAAUAGAAUCUACCAUUGUUAUGGAUGGAAAGCAGCUCACUUAAUUCAUUGUAAGGGAAAUUAGAUGGGGGGAGAUAUUUCUAGAUAAUUUCAAGAAGCCCACUAAUUGUUAGCUUCGGGGCGCUUGAGGGGCAGUGCUUCCGUUAUUCCCUGAGUUUACUUAGAAGCAGCUUAUACAAGACUCCAGGAUUUCUAUAUGCAAAGUCAAAUAGGAAGGGUCAGUGUCCCUCUGUUAUUAAGGAAGACUUCUAGCAUCAAAGAGACAAGCAAAUAGUUAGCUUUUCCAAAAAGGGACAUUGUCAAAGCCAUGCAUUAAAAGAAUGAACCAUCAAACCAUAAUGGCUGUCUUGCAAUUCCGCAAAGAGGGCAGCCUUCCUUUCCCUCUUGACUUUUGUCUUGUUUGAUAGUUGCUGAUCAGAAUGAUUUUUAAUCAAAUUAGAAUGUAUUAAAAUGAACAAAUGAAUGAUCCUAUAUUAUAAAAUAUACCAUAUUAUAAAUUAUUAUUUUACUAGUAAUACAUUAAUGAUCAAUCAAAAAUUCAGGCAGUCUCAGGUUUCAUAGUUCUUAAAUGCACUUUUAGUUGGCAAUGUCCUUUUAAAAAUACUUUGCUGUUUUAGGGUGAGGAUCUUGAUUCUGUCAGUGAUAGAAACUAAAGAGAAAGAAGAGCCCAAGAACUAUGCAUUUCUUCACUAAAUCACUACGUUUCCCUAUUAUUGAAGUGGUUUUUGCAUCUCAUGAGAACAUGAUACAAAUUCAAAUGUUAGUAUUUUGGGGUGGGGGGAGAGUAACAGGGAACAGCUGUAGGGUUGAGGCUUCAUGAAGGAGCUUGGUUAAUGUAAAUUCAGCAGCCUGAAAAUACAAAUUUGGGGUGGAAUCAAGGUGUGUUGUAUGCUAAGCAUAUGUGCCUAAAUUGAAAAGCUACAUUUUUAUCUCCAGUGGCUCGUUCAGAAACACACAACGUUUCUUGAUAGCGAGUAUAUGGCGAACAGCAGGAUUUGAGAAUCCAAUAAGAUUUUCAAGGUAUAAGCUUUCAAGAAUCAGAGCUCCCUUCUUCAGAUACCACCCAAAUCUCUCCAACUAUUUGAAGAAGGGAGCUCUGACUCACGAAAGCUUAUACCCUGAAAAUCUUAUUGGUCACUAGGGCGCCACUGGACUCAAAUCCUGCUGUUCUACUACAGACCAACAUGGCUACCCACUUAAAACUGCGUAUACAAGGAUUGCUUAAAACAUGACAUCAGAAAUGAAAUUUCAGAAACUAGUUUUGAAUAACCAUGUAUUAAUUAUAUACUGUCUUCUAUGUGGGUGUGAGGUGUUUUGUUUAUUGUUAAGAUUGCAUGAAAAUAUAAGGAUAAUUUUCCUAGGUGUCAAGGAGAUUUAAAAAAAAAAACCCUCUUGCCCUGUUUGGGUCAGAAAACUUUCCCCUCCUCUCUGUAUAUAGCAUUCUGAAAUCUUAGAAUGACUCAGUAGUCUCCCUUGUGAUUGAAUCAGGAGCUCAUUACUAGAUUACUUUGUGCUCCCAAUUCUCUCACCUAUUAACAAGCUCUAAACAUUACCUUGAGCUUGGAUCCCACUUACUUGCUGGCCCUCUGCAGAGUUCUUGCAAAUGCACAGGUUCUUCCUUUGGUAAUGUUAACUUCUAAUUGGUGCCUUCCUUCCUUUGUCCCAAUUGUACCUGAAAUUUUAAGCUUUUUCUCAUAAGCUUAACAGUGCUAAUGGCCUGGUCUAUUCUUUUGUGUGUUCCAAUAAUUACUAUUCAUGCUGAAUAGUGAGGUUGGACCAAAGCAGGAUUUCACUGGUGUUCUCAGAAAUUAUUCUGUUCCUUCAUGCACUAUGUUAACAGUAUUAGUACCGAUGUAAGUGAAAUGUAUUAACUUUUUUUCCACAGCAAAAGUCAUUGCAGGGUAUCUGUAUUGCAAGGGCCUCCUGUUAAGAUUUUAUUUCAAACUUUAAAUAAAGUUCUUCCACAAUUUUCAUUUACUUUCAUAAUAAAACUCGACAUUUUUGA